rnacentral:rRNA from 1 species
CCUACGGGAGGCAGCAGUGAGGAAUAUUGGUCAAUGGACGAGAGUCUGAACCAGCCAAGUAGCGUGAAGGAUGACUGCCCUAUGGGUUGUAAACUUCUUUUAUAUGGGAAUAAAAUGUUCCACGUGUGGGCUUUUGUAUGUACCAUAUGAAUAAGGAUCGGCUAACUCCGUGCCAGCAGCCGCGGUACUACGGAGGAUCCGAGCGUUAUCCGGAUUUAUUGGGUUUAAAGGGAGCGUAGGUGGAUUGUUAAGUCAGUUGUGAAAGUUUGCGGCUCAACCGUAGAAUUGCAGUUGAAACUGGCAGGCUUGAGUACAGUAGAGGUGGGCGGAAUUCGUGGUGUAGCGGUGAAAUGCUUAGAGAUGACGAAGAACUCCGAGUGCGAAGGCAGCUCACUGGACUGCAACUGACACUGAGGCGCGAAAGUGUGGGUAUCAAACAGGAUUAGAUACCCCUGUAGUC